GGAUACCAAGCAUGGCCUGAAUUUCCACUAUGUGAUGAUUUAAAUGUAGCUGUCAUUUUAAAUUAUUUCAUCUACAGUUCAUUCAAGGGAUAUUGCUGUUUGGAGGCGCAAGUCAAUGAUUAUGACUCCCUCCAUUGUGUAGCAGCAAACUCAAAUAGGAACGCACAGAAACAGCUGCUUCGAGUCGGAAAAAAAGUUUAAACGUGGAGGGAAUUUGGUUCCUCUCCAUCAACUGUACUACCAAAAAGGCAUUACCUUCCACAUAGAGCAUCUGAAUUCCAAAAGUUGAGUUAACCCUCAAGGACUAUUAGGUUUUUCUUCAAUGCAGUGAUAUGAGGGUUGCCACAAAAGAAGAGGAAAAUGGAAGUGAUCAAAAAACCAAGAAAUGUAUUCCGAGUACUGCUGCUAUCAACUCAUCAAAAAGGAGUUUUAUAUUGGCUAGAACCAUUGACAAGCUGAGCCGUAAAUUUCCACCUGAAAAUUCAUCGCAAAAGCAUCAGCCUGCUUUGGACAGGAUUCCACUACCGAGACAAUUUCACACCAUUAACCAGCCUCGCAAAUGUUGAAAGAAGUUACCUGUGCAACAUAUGACAGUCACCAUGCAGAGUGAAGAAAUCAUUGAUAACAUGUUUAAAAUGUAAAUAUCAGUCUCUUCCAAGUUAUACAAUGCUACUGCUCCUUGCAUUAUCCUUAAACUACUAGAAACCUUCCUGGCCAAAUGUGACAUUAGUCCAACAUGUUUUUUGCUUGCAAGGGUGUAUAAGAGUUAUGUAGUUAGUGUCUCCUGGGCUAAUUGAUCUAUUGAAAAUUUAUCUUCAAUAAGUAAAACAGCUGUGACAGUUACCCUUUUUAAUUUUGUCUUCUCGAACUAAAUGGUAAGUGUCUAAGAGUAUUAGUACAGUAGAAGUUCCAUAGGAUAUUAAUCCAUUUAUGGUGUAGCUUGUACCUGGGGUGAUUGAAGGGACCAAAAUGAGGAUUAGCUAUGUUUACUCUCACCCCCAUAUUGGUAAUAAACUACUACUUUUGAUGCA